CUGUAACGUCCCCAGCGCUUCUGAAUUAAUUCCUCAUCUAAGUUUGAAGCCGUUGAAGUUUUGAUGCAGCAUUUUCCUUUCCCCCGAAUUGAAAACUGAAGCCGUAGCCUUGAGGUGCCUGUGUUGGUGGUCAGUGAGGUACAACUACUACGGACUGACGCAAAACUGCAUUUCGUUGUACUGAUACUUGUAUUUGUGCGAUGACAUUAAAGUUGAAUUGAAUUGAAUACCAAUUGAUUUCUGCCAAUGAGGAAUUCCAAGAUCCAGUUGCAUGGGUACGAGCAGACUUCCAAUUCCCUGAAUUUAAUUUGUGUUGUUAAAAAUACAACAUUUGCCAGUAAAAUACCAUGUUUGAUUUAGUGUCCUUGUGCAGAAAAAAAAAUCUGGCUUAACACAAUUAGAUAUAAAUAGUGGCAGCUGGAAUAAGACCAAACAUUUCAUCUCACUUGAGCUCCUUAAAUGUAAUCAUUCACCUGCUGCAUUUCUCCAUGUUCCAGUUUCCUAAGUCAGAACUUAGUAUUUUUGACAUUCUCACCGUGCCAGAUAUGCUUGUGAUAACUGGAAAGUAUACAAGGAUUCAGUUUCAAAUUAUUCCCCAAACUUUCCUACCAGCAAAUAAGUGGCCACUUUCUAAUUUCUUGUUCUUUCAUCUCUCAAAAAAGUCUUAUUCAUGCAUUUUCAUCUCUUCCAUUUCCAAAAGAUGGAGAACUGCAAUAAUUUGUAUGGUUUCAGUAAGCACCUUGACUGGAAAACCAUUUUAUACUGCAAUCCCAUGUUAGGUAUUGAAUUUCCAUUUAGUUGUUUUCUUUCCUCCCUUUGGUGCAGAUUUGUUUCCAAAGACUGGUCGUUGCUUCACCUCUCAGAUAAACUUGACAGUCACUGGACACUUUCUGACCAUUUAGCAUGUUUUUAGUCAUUUAGAGCAUUUAGACCAUUUAGAGUCUUUGUCCCAUCCCCUCCCCUGACAUCAGUCUGAAGAAGGGUCUCGACCCGAAACGUCGCCCAUUCCUUCUCUCCAUAGAUGCUGCCUCGCCCGCUGAGUUACUCCUGCAUUUUGUGUCUACCUUAGAGUGUUUUUAGUUUUGGUAUUCAUAUUCAAAACGAAGUAUGGCUCAAAUUUUGAAGACAUGAUCUAGACAGUUGUAUACCCCAAUUGGUCAGUGGAAGUCAUUCAAAUUGGUAGUAAAUAAUACAAACUUUUCUAAUUUCAGUAUUACGCAUACCAGGGCAAUCACAGCUAAUCCAGCAUGAGAUGGUAUCUACAAAUCCUAGGUUCAGAAUGACCUGGGAGAACAAAAUCAGGUAUCAGCUGCUGGAACAAACUUUAAUUAAAGAUCAAAUUAUAUAAGA